UUCCCCACAUUUCACCACCAACCCUAAUUCCAAACCACCAGCAGCAGCAGCCAGAGAGCAAACAUGCAGAUCUUCGUGAAAACCCUAACGGGGAAGACGAUAACCCUAGAGGUUGAGUCUUCCGACACCAUCGAUAACGUCAAGGCCAAGAUCCAAGACAAGGAAGGCAUCCCACCCGACCAGCAGCGCCUCAUCUUCGCCGGCAAGCAGCUCGAAGACGGCCGCACCCUCGCCGACUACAACAUCCAGAAGGAGUCCACUCUCCAUCUCGUCCUCCGUCUUCGUGGCGGCGCAAAGAAGAGGAAGAAGAAGACGUACACCAAGCCAAAGAAGAUCAAGCACAAGCACAGGAAGGUCAAGCUCAGCGUCUUGCAGUUCUACAAGGUCGAUGAUUCCGGCAAGGUUCAGAGGCUGAGGAAGGAGUGCCCCAACGCCGAGUGCGGUGCUGGAACGUUCAUGGCCAACCACUUUGAUCGUCACUACUGCGGCAAGUGCGGCCUCACUUACGUCUAUCAGAAGGCUUGAGUUCAAGGAUAUGCAUUAGCUUGUAUAUGCAUGAAUACAUGGGUUAUAGUCUCUGUUUUGGACAUGAAGGAAAGCUGCUGAGUGCACUGCUGGAUCUUUUAUGGCUGGAUCAUUUUGGUUGUCACUGUUGUGGCAAAUGUGGUUCAAUGUAGGUUUUUACCAUAAGGCUUAGUUUUUGUUGAAUCUAGUAGACUGUUUUUUUAUUCUGAAGAAUGUGGCUACUUUGAUUAAUACCCAAAUGAUUAUGAUGUUGCUACUUAUUUCUGAGUUUAAAUGCUUUUGUUAA